GGUGUUGUGGUGCGCCAUCGCCAGUUAGAAGGUGACAACGGGCGCUUGAUGCGGCCCGAUGGUGUCCAUUUAAACGACAUAGGGUUAGAUAUUUUCUUAUCCGGUUUACAGGAUGGUGUCGAGCAGGCCCAGCGGAAAGGAAAAGGUC